AUUGAACGCUGGCGGCAGGCCUAACACAUGCAAGUCGAACGGUAACAGAAAGCAGCUUGCUGCUUUGCUGACGAGUGGCGGACGGGUGAGUAAUGUCUGGGAAACUGCCUGAUGGAGGGGGAUAACUACUGGAAACGGUAGCUAAUACCGCAUAACGUCGCAAGACCAAAGAGGGGGACCUUCGGGCCUCUUGCCAUCGGAUGUGCCCAGAUGGGAUUAGCUAGUAGGUGGGGUAAAGGCUCACCUAGGCGACGAUCCCUAGCUGGUCUGAGAGGAUGACCAGCCACACUGGAACUGAGACACGGUCCAGACUCCUACGGGAGGCAGCAGUGGGGAAUAGUGCACAAUGGGCGCAAGCCUGAUGCAGCCAUGCCGCGUGUAUGAAGAAGGCCUUCGGGUUGUAAAGUACUUUCAGCGGGGAGGAAGGGAGUAAAGUUAAUACCUUUGCUCAUUGACGUUAACCGCAGUAGAAGCACCGGCUAACUCCGUG
rnacentral:rRNA from 1 species